GUCCCUUCUGCUAUUUUACCUUUCUGCUACUUUCUGCUUAUUUUGCACCCUUCUGCUCCUUUCUCAUUCUGAUCCCUUUCUGCUCCUUGCAGACCCUUUCUGCUCCCUUUUCUACUUUAUCUUUGUGCUCCUUGCUGUCCCUUUCUGCUCCUUCUCCUACUUUAACUUUGUGCUCCUUCUGAUUCUUUCUGCUCCUUUACCUUUGUGCUCCUUCCUGCUCCUUGCAGGCCCUUCCUGCUCAUUCUCCUAUUUUACUUUUGUGCUCCUUCUGCCCCUUCCAGCUCAUUUAUGACCCUUUCUGCUCCUUCUACUUUACCUUUGUGCUGCUUUACCUUCCAGCUCCUUGCUGACCCUUCCUGUUCAUUUCUGUUCCUUUCUGCUCCUUCUCCUACUUUACCUUUGUGCUGCUUUACCUUUCAGCUCCUUGCUGACCCUUCCUGUUCAUUUCUGUUCCUUUGUGCUCCUUCUCCUACUUUACCUUUUGUGCUCCUUCCUGUCCCUUACAGCUCCUUGCUGCCCCUUUCUGCUCCUUGAUGUCCCUUCCUGCUCAUUUCUGUUCCUUCUCCUUUUCUUACUUUACCUUCCUGCUCCUUGCUGACUCUUCAUGUAGGCUGUCUCCCCCAUCCCUCACUUCCAUAGGCGUGCGCACGGGGUGUGUCGGGUGUGCAUG